GGAUCUUUCAGUACAUCCUUUCCCCCGGUCAGUUCCUUUCCUUGUUAUGGUCAAAUCAAAUGAUUUCUUUCCUACAUUGCAUUAACACACUAUCAAAUCAGUCUCGGUUUAUUUCCUUCUUGUGGUCAUUCCUUUCUCCCCGUGAUUCCAUCCUAGGGUCUGCGAUUCUUGGGCCAUCCAUCCCCGUCUUGAUAUGUCUGCUUGCCGUCCGCCAUCACUCCCAUCUCACGCGUCGCUGCCCCUGAAACCACCCACCCUUGCUCGCAAUUGUCUUCACGUGCAACAACACACUUCUAAAUCCGGGCGGUGAUGGCCGCCGAUGCCCCUCUCCUUCUUCCUGGCGCCUGCUCACAAGAGGUGAAAAGAACGACAUCGCCAUUGGUCGAGGGAAGAAGGAAGCCGGAUGAUGCAUGUAUUCCGCUCUGCACCAUAAUCCUCAUCUGGUACCUUGUCAACAACUACACCAAGCCGGUCGGUCCCCUUUCUUCUCUUCGAUUGUAGUCUUUUAUGGUUUGAUCCCAAUCGAAGUUUCAUUAACAUGUAAUUGAUAAAGAUGCUACAUAAGUUCUGAAAGAAAUACUCUUCCCUUACACCAUCACCAUUUUUGCAGAAAAAACCCAGGCUAGAUUUUCAGUGCCGUAUGUCUUAUGAAGACUCGAGUUGGAGGAUGAAGAGAGAAGGCCUAAUGAUUUAGUAUCUGAAGUCUGGGACAUGGUUAGCUGAAGAUCCCUUUGGUACAGGCAAGGUCAAUGUGCAAUAACUUGGUUCAUCACUGUCUGCUCCUUAGCUUGUUUUGCUGUGAGCUAUUAAUUUAUUUUGCUGCUUGGAAAGGCAGCUUAUUUGAAACUAAAAUUUCUAUGCUUGAAGGCCGAUAUCUGGGCAGAGAAAUAUCAAAAGGACAUGAAAGAUUACCAGCAAACUGUGUCCACGUGUGCUGGAUUUUCUGUAAAAUUGUGUUUUCAACCAAAAGAUAGCACUAAGCUGGGUUGGAACGCUUCAAGUAGUCACUUCUGGAGUUGCGGAACCAAAUUGUUGUACCGUACACAAGGGGAAAAUGGUGUAUGUUGUUAAAAUAUUAGUAGAGGUAAAGUGUCAUUGUAUUUGAAUUUCAGCUCAGGGGAUGUUGCAUCCUUUUUAGUGAUGAUCAGAAAUGUGAAUGUAGCCAGCUACAUAAUGAUUUGAUAAGAAAAAUGCACACCGAUUUAGAUACUGAA